GUUUAUGUACCAUGUCUGUGAGAUCACUGAGAAGGGCAUGGGCAGAGCUUUAGGCUCUUGUGAUAUUGCACUGUGUCCUAAGGAGCUAAGGGUCAGGCCACGACAGAUGAGACACUCUGUGGAGAAUGGCUUGGAUACCUGAGCCACAAUAUUAAUACCCCAAGCAUACAAUGUGUAUGCUUUUUUUAGUGCAGUCAUAACACAGACAUCACUACAUGCGUGCAUGAUGCCCCCAAGAACAUACCAUUAACUUAGAAAUGGCUAACACAUUCCAUCAGGUGCUAGGCCUGUUAUCAAGAAGCCCAAUAUAAGAAAUAGGGUAAGAUGUGAGUUUACAGCACAAGCCCAGUUGCCAUGGGUCUAGAAGAAGUAAGUUUUAGGUUGACCUCACAAUGCUUUGAGUGAACUGGUAGCCAGGAUGCCACUGGAAUAAGGCCCAAUAGAAGAAACGCAAUACUUAGCAGCCCAAUGGCAUGCUGCUCCAUUGUUGUCUGGUUCAUGGGACACCAAUCCCAUGCUGACAUCAGGGAGGACCGGUAGCCAUGCACAACAGGUAUGAGACAUGGUCCAGGAAUGGAGUCCUGUGAGAAGACUUCUGAGUGCUUGUGAGAAUAUUUCUAAGGGUCCGAUGGCCUUGUGACCAAAGUUUCUUCAAGAUCCCAAAUUGUCCAUGGACCAUGUUUUCAUGCUCCUUCCUGGUGUUUUGGAAUGAGUUUACUUCACAUUUCUCAUUAUUGCUUCCUGUUGAAAUUUAACUAAGUGUUUAAACUACCCUUUAUAUGCCUUUAUGGAAAAACAUAAUUUGGCAACUUGUAGCUAGUUCUUGUGAUUGUACACAGCUUGAACUCAGGAGAAUUAUAUAUUGAACUUGAGAGUGAUUCCAAUAUCUGAGGCUUUGAAAGAAAAUGGCUUUAGUAUAAGCCUUUAAUACACGUUAUGUUGGGGUCCAUUCUCCUAGGUCCCACUGCCUGUAGAGCACUGGCAGACAGGUGUGAAUAAACUGGGGAAACAAAGCCCAGAGGCAGGAGGAACUUAAGGUUACAUCGUAUUUUAGUAUUGAGCUCCUUGAAAACACACAGGUAUUAUAUUUUCAAUAUUAAUGGUACUAGGGCUGCACUAUCAAUUCAUAAUUUUACAUUGGGUGACGGCAAAUGUAAACAUUUUUAUUGUUAGGUCACAAUGCUGUAUUUGUCCCUGCCCUUAAUCUGCAUGUUGGGAUGACAGUGACUCUGGAGGAGUUGCAGCACUUGUUAUGGGACGCUUACUUUCGGCGUUAAUUUUAACAAAAAUUAGUUCUAUUAUUGUCUUAGUUAGGCUUUGACUUCUGUGAACAGACACCAUGGCCAUGGUAACUCCUAUAAGGACAAUAUUCAAUUGGGGUUGUCUUACAGGUUCAGAGGUUCAGUCCAUUGUCAUCAGGGCAGGAGCAUGACAGCAUCCAGAUAGGGAUGGCACAGGCUGAGCUGAGAGUUCUCCAUGUUCAUCUGAAGGCUGAUAACAGAAUACUAGCUUCCUGGCAGCCAGGAUGAGGGUCUUAAUUCCCAAACCCAGAGUGACACACCUACGUCAGCAAGGCCAUGCCUCCCAACAGUGCCAGUCCCAGGGCCAAGCACAUAGAAACCAUCACAGUAUAGUUUUGCAAUUAUAAUUACAGUAUUUCAUCAUGUAGCCAUCUUUAUCUUUGUUUAGACUGGAGUUUGUUCUAUAAACCAGGAUUCCCUCAAGUCACAGAGCUCCAUCUUCCUCUGCAUCAUGGUUCAGUUCUUCAUUUAUUGAUUAAAGUCACUGCUCCAUAGCACACUCAUAUAAAAUAGCACUGUGGUCACUGUUAGUUUCAUGUAUGAUUGUCCCUGUCAGUUUAUAACUUUUUCGCAUCAUCUUAUUGAGAACUUGGCGUCGCUUCCCAGGUCUACUGUUAGAGUAAAACCCGUAAAUUCUCAGUGCCCAUGUACACAGCAGGUGAGGGGGUGGAGAGAGGGGACUUGAGCAUCACCCUACACGGACUUGGCUCCUGCCAGGGCAGAGAUGCAUCGCCCUCAGUGAGGAAGGUCUGCAAACUUCCAGAGACAGUGUCCUUCUACAACAAGGGGGCAGAGUCAAGGGCUGGAUGUUCCAGGAACCAACAGCCAUUUUUAUUUUUCUUGUGUUGCUUAGUUCAUGGACUCGUGAGCAUCUGGAUCUGGCCUUCCUUCUAGGUGAGGAUGUAGUAGCCUCUUCAUUCAAAGAGACCUGAAAACAUGGGUUUACAGUAAAAAGUACAAAGUGUUCUGUUGUCCAUUCUGUGUAGUAGGCCACCGAUUUCUAUUGGCCUGAGCCAGGGAGCAACACCUGAGUGCCUCUCUUCCACUCAGGGUGUAUCAUUCAAAGAGUUAGCUGUAUCUCUGGCCUUGUUUAUGAGGCUGGUCUCAGGCUUUGGCAAUGCUGUGUGUUGUUGUUGAUGAUUUUCAGUAUCUCUAGCAUGGACUUUUGGAAAGUUCAUAUUUGUGUAACAAAAGUAUCUGUUUAUUCAUAGUACAAUAAAAAGAACAAUAUAGCAGUAACAGUCACAGCACCAGGAGCAGCAUCAGGAGCAAGGACAUUGUAAUUGCAAGAUCCUUUGUGGUACCUAUGCAAAUAUAAAAAAAAUAGUUGUUCUACACAUAUGUCCCAGGAGGCAGAAAACUCCAUUUCCAGCUAGAUAUACUUGAAUGUAUCUGUGUCUUUUCAUUUGCUGGAAGUAUGACAAAUCACUAUGUCCUACCAGCAGUAAGCCACCUAGUCAUAAGAGGGGACCUUGCUGUUUUCCCACCUAUAAUUCCCCACCCCUCUGUUGUCUCCUGUGACUGUCUGCAUCCUCAGCAAGUUGCUCUCCGCUCUGUGGUAUCAGCUCCAGAGACUACAGCACCUCCUACAACACUUGACACAGACACAUGGAAGGGUCUCUUAAUAGAAAUGUGCAGGACUUAAGCUCUGGCUGUGCUGGCUCUGAGCUGGGUUUGAGUCUCUAAUUCCUCCUGAGUGUUCCACUCUUUCCUUCACUAUAUUUACCUCCAUCCUCCACAACUCUAGGGCUACCAUCCUCUGCUUUCUACAUCUCGUUCAAAUAUUUUAGGACUCCUGUUAGGAGUAAGGACAGGAUGG
ensembl:lncRNA